UACGGAGGAUGCGAGCGUUAUCCGGAUUUAUUGGGUUUAAAGGGUGCGUAGGCGGGCUUUUAAGUCAGCGGUAAAAAUUCGGGGCUCAACCCCGUCCGGCCGUUGAAACUGGGGGUCUUGAGUGGGCGAGAAGAAGGCGGAAUGCGUGGUGUAGCGGUGAAAUGCAUAGAUAUCACACAGAACCCCGAUUGCGAAGGCAGCCUUCCGGCGCCCUACUGACGCUGAGGCACGAAAGUGCGGGGAUCGAACAGG
rnacentral:rRNA from 1 species